GUGCAAGGUACCUGACUUCACAACCACUUAACAAGUCCUCCCUUCAGGAACCCCACUACUGAAUACCAGGAUUUCAAGGCUCCCACUAUUCAUCCCUUCUCCAGCCAAGUAAAACCAGACAAGACAGUCAGUCAUGAUGUGUUCAGCUUUAUCGGCAUAGUUUCCUUGUGUGCCCAAAAGCAGGACUCCAUAGAACAAAGAUAGGACAACACAACAGGACUCAAAGAUAGGGACUGUGCCAGGAGAGUUGGUGGGUCUGCCUUUGUCACUGCUCCAGCUGUGCCUUAACAUGACCCCACUUCCAGAGCAAUAUCACCAUAAGUGCCAUCUUCUUGAGGGAAUCCUUGGGACUUGAUACCACUGUGUUAUUUUCAGUAUCAUACAAAUAAAACAAAAACGUGCAUAGAAAAACCCAGGCAUGACAUACAAAAUAAAUCAACACACUUGCAGGGACACUGUGAAUAAACAUGCACAUAGAUUGAAAUGAGAGAGUGGAUGUUAAGUAGGAGUAGGAGUAUAGCAUCUAGUAGAGACAUUUGGGAAACUAAGCAAGCAGAUAAGGAGCAAGCAGACAUAUCUGACCCCUAAACCCAGAAAAAAAAAUCAUUGGAAACACAAAAGGAUAUACAACACUUGCUAGCAUGAUUUAUUGCUUGUUUUCCUUAUGUUUGAUUUUUAUUAUUCUGUAUCAAUGUAGAAAGCCAUCAGCAAGCUUUCAAAAAUGUUUUUGUUCACUUAUACCACUACAAAAACAACCCAUACCAUUUGCAUACCAGUCUCAUCCCACCCAAAAGUGCAGUCCAGAUCCCUCUGCACAAGAGAUACAGCACUCCCAGACUAUUGUUUCAGCCUCCUUUGGAUGUUGUCAGCAAAUUACAGCUGAUACCCCAUCUAGGCUAAGUGAGUAUAGGGUCCUUUUAACUUAGGGAGAAGUAAAUUAAGGAAGUGAAUUAGAGAAUUACAGUUCCCAAGUUGUUCUACGCUGAGAUGAUGGGCAGGCUGCUGGGCUAAGUCAGUAAGAAAGCAGAACAGAGUAGCUCUGUGAUUACUUACACCAGGUAUGCAAAAUACGGAUAAAAAAUCCACUGUUGUAUGUGCACUAAUCAGCCACAAAAUGAAAAUCACCUGCCUAAUAUCACGUAGAUCUCCCUCGUGCUGCCAAAACAGCUCUGAUGAAUUGAAGCAUGGACUCCACAAAACCGUUGAAAGUAUUCUGUGGUGUCUGGCACCAAUACAUGAACAGCAUAUCUUUUUAAGUCCUGAAAGUUGUGAGGUAAAGACUCCAUGAAUCAGAUUUUUUGUUCCAGC